UUACUGAAGUUUGGAUUGCUAUCUUGAUACUGUAAACCUGCAAUAAGUGGCAAUGUCAAGGGUUCCCACCCCACCUCCUCCUGGGGAGAUGUCCAGUGGACCUGUGGCUGAAAGCUGGUGUUACACACAGGUUAAAGUAGUAAAAUUUUCCUACAUGUGGACCAUUAAUAACUUCAGUUUUUGCCGAGAAGAAAUGGGUGAAGUUUUAAAGAGUUCUACCUUUUCAUCAGGGCCAAAUGAUAAAAUGAAGUGGUGCCUGAGAGUGAAUCCAAAGGGAUUAGACGAUGAAAGCAAAGACUACCUGUCAUUAUAUUUGCUUUUAGUCAGUUGUCCAAAAAGUGAAGUCAGAGCAAAAUUCAAAUUUUCCCUGCUGAAUGCUAAAAGAGAAGAAACAAAAGCAAUGGAAAGCCAAAGAGCAUAUCGAUUUGUGCAAGGCAAGGACUGGGGUUUUAAGAAAUUCAUCCGAAGAGAUUUUUUACUGGAUGAAGCUAAUGGUCUUCUACCAGAUGACAAGCUCACGUUAUUUUGUGAGGUAAGCGUGGUCCAAGACUCAGUAAAUAUAUCAGGACAGUCUAAUACAAACACUUUGAAGGUACCUGAAUGUCGACUAGCAGAAGAUUUAGGGAAUCUCUGGGAAACAACAAGAUUUACAGAUUGCAGUUUUUAUGUAGGAGGACAAGAAUUCAAAGCUCAUAAAUCUGUCCUUGCAGCACGAUCUCCAGUUUUUAAUGCAAUGUUUGAACAUGAAAUGGAGGAAAGCAAAAAGAAUCGUGUAGAAAUAAAUGAUGUAGACCCUGAAGUUUUUAAAGAAAUGAUGAGAUUCAUUUACACAGGAAAAGCACCAAACCUUGAAAAAAUGGCUGACAAUUUGUUGGCAGCUGCAGACAAAUAUGCACUGGAACGGCUGAAGGUCAUGUGUGAGGAAGCACUCUGUAGUAACCUCUCGGUAGAAAAUGUUGCUGACAUUCUUAUCCUCGCAGAUUUGCACAGCGCUGAACAGUUAAAAGCACAAGCAAUAGACUUUAUUAACAGGUGCAGUGUUCUUAGACAACUUGGGUGUAAAGAUGGGAAAAACUGGAAUAGCAAGUAAGUUUCCCUGCCUCGCGAUGUUCUGUACAAACACUGCUAAAUAGACUGCAGAUCUUAAGAACUGUUGCUUCAUUUCCACACUACUGAGGCCAGUCACUGACUCCAAGCAACAGACAUAAUGGAAACAGCAGGCUGGAAGUCCAUGAUCCACUCCCACCCUCACUUAGUAGCAGAGGCCUUUCGCGCACUAGCAUCUGCACAGUGUCCACAGUUUGGCAUUCCACGCAAACGGCUAAAACAGUCAUGAAAUCUUCCAUGAACUUUAGAGAAAUUGAAUUGACUCUACUCCUCCAUGUCCAGAGGUGUUUUCACAAACCAUAACAAGAGUUUUUGUUAUCCUUGUCCACAGAACAGAAGCUGAAAAAGCCUAUUGUUUGCUUUUCAGAUGGAUAAUUUAUGGUUUAAUCCUCAGCUUUAAAUUAGACUGAUUACUCUAAUUCACUGAAAGGCCUUAAAUUAUCUUCAAUGACUCUCUAGUCCAUAUAGUCUAAUGUAUCUUGAUUUUUUUAUUAUUAUUUUUUAAUGUGCCUUGUCUUUUUGACUAGGCUCUGCAGGAUUGCACUAGCUCCAUAAUGCAGUAAAGUUGAUAACUGAAGAUUAAUUUUUGAAAGGGAUCUUCCAUUAUUUUCA